GCCCGGUUAGCUCAAUCGGUAGAGCGUGAGACUCUUACUAUGUAAUCUCAAGGUUGCGGGUUCGACCCCCGCAUCGGGCU
rnacentral:tRNA from 1 species